UUGUUCGGGGUUCCGAUCCCGCUUAAUUUGGAUAAGUUGCAUCGCCGCAUCAUGUUUGCCAUGCCAUGCAUAUCAUAUCAUCAUCAUGCUGAUUCUUUUGCCGUCGUUGUAAAUUGUGCAUCCGUUAUUUGUUCUAGUGCUUUGCUUCUUCGCGGAUAGGCCGUUGAGUUGAUGCGAGCUACGACAAGUUCUCCGGAUGUUCCUCGGCAAGCUUUAACAGGCAAGCAUUUCCUAAACUCCUGUCUCUGCAGGAGUCGCUCACCUAUUUUAUUUUGCCUUCUCCCUUAUGCUAGCCUUGAGUUGCGUUCUUGUCACGUGUCCUAUCCACCUGUUACCUCAAGUAGCCCAUAUUGCCACCACCACCUCCUACAGCUAUUGUUUGGUUAUUGAGUCUGCCCUUGCAAGUCGUAGUGCAUGCUAGUGCUGUCUUAUCUUGUUACCGUUGUUGCUAUCUUAUCGGGUUAUAUGUUGGGAAGAAUCAUGGUUACUUUAGUUAUUGAUAUUGUUUAGCGGAGGCAUCGGUGGGUCAGCUGCUCGUUUUGUGAUGGCUCACUUGUGUUUCCUAAAUAACUUAGGACCCGAGUUCUUGUUAUCUGUUCCGAGACUGAGCGCUCUAACCACACGUGGGUAUGCUUACCGGGUCUCCCCUCGACCACUGCCUGAAUCUACAGCUUUGUCCAGUGGCCACAAUUAGUUUGAAUGUUUUGUUUCUCUCGGGCGUGCAAGCAUGUUUCUUUGUGGUCAGGUGAUAUGAUGUUACUUUUGGGGAAGCCGUGAGUGCCUUGUAACCCCGUUGUCUCUUGCACGCUCGUAGGUGCGGUCCGCAUUGUUAAGAGGUCAUCCUCUAGUGGGCUCUGAUCCUCUUAGCCGUUCUCGCAACAGCUAGGUCCGUCUCGGAGAGUCGGCCGGACUCUGAUUCGGGUUUAACUUAGUUAGGUGGCUUCCUGGACAUUGUUGUAGUGAAGGAAAGUGCGUGUCGUGAUAUCCACCUGUCGUAAGUGGGUUGAGCGUGCGUGUGGGCACAUUUGGGCACCCCUGCAGGGUUACAAUCUUAUCGAUAAGCCGUGUCCGCGGUUAUGGACGACUUGGAGCUGUAUGACUCGACCAUGGACAACUUACACCUGUUGUUUCAAUACUAAUAACUUGCAUAGUAAGAUAGAACAACUUAAAUACUAACUGGUUAAAACUUGUCCACCGUGUGAGUGCCUUUGUAAGUACUUCCUUGCGAGGGGGGAACGCAUCGGUUGUGUUAUGCUUGCAGAGUAUAGAAGUGCUAGCUUAUGCGCUCUCUCAUCUUCUCUGAUUAGACGAAUGUUGUAGAGUGUCUCUAUAGGUUUUUAGUGCUUGCGCGCUGCCGCUUAACCCCACCAUAUUGCCUAUGACGUUCCUCUUGCAUCCUCUAAGUCCCCUGCGUGCCUCAAGUACAAAGGACGACUGGUUGACGAAUGCUUAUACAUCUUGAAGUCUUGUUAAGUAUGAACCCGUACUUAUUGCUGCUUCUACGGGAUAUAACCGGGCAGGUAUGAAGAUAUGUUCGAUGAAGACGACGUUAGCACGGUUAGCCUUCCGGCUUGGCCUGGGCAGGGUUAUGGAUGCCACGGGUUAUCUUCAGGACUCUUAGUCCAAUUUGUAUCUUGUCCGUACUCGGACGUACUCGAUCUUCUGUAUGAUUUGGAUCUUUGUAUUGUAUAUUUGUAUCUUGACUCGUUGGAGUCGUUGUUGUAAUAUAUGUUUCUUGUGGGCUCUAUUGUAAA